UAAAACUUUACUGUAAAUUUACAGGAAAUUUCUAACAGUAUUAUACUGUAUUUUCAUAAAACAGUAACAUGCUGUAUAUUUUACAGAAUGUCUGUAAAUAUACAGUAGUUUUCUGUUUUCAGCCCGUUUCACUCGUAAUACAGUAUAAUACUGUAGAAGCAUUGCAUUAUGGGAUUGAUUUUUUUUUUUACCGCGCUCAUUUCAAAUUUCUAGGCCAGGCAUACAUUUUAGCUUCUUUCCCAACGCUUUUAGUGUUUCACGUCGACUCUUCAGGGUUUAAUGUUAUCAUUAAACGAUAUUUGAGUGAAUAUAGUGUGCAGUUUUAAGCUUUUGAAGCGUCAGUUUGCCUGAGACGCGGGAUGACUGGACAGCUGCUGAGAAGACGGAGAUGUUAUUUUCCGCCUGAUUAAUCAAAACGUUUGCCUGUGUCGAGAAGACGGAUAAACAAUUUUCGGCUGAGAAUAUGGUAAGUCAGUCUUUUCUGGAGCUUUUCCUUCGCGUUUCUAUUUUGUCAUGAAUGGUUUGAUCUUGAAAUGUUAAACUUCUCACGAGCAAACGGUUAACGUUACUCUGUUCUCAGCGCUUCAUGCAGUAACACUGAUGUUUCAUCUUAUAGACAACCUUAGCAUAUGUUAUUCUUACAACCUGAUUUUUAAACUGUUUUGUUUAUUUAUUUAUUUAUUUUUCUCUCGUUUCAGGCUCAAUCAUCUGAUGUGCUCCAUUGUUUACGUAAGUGUUGUGCUUACUUUCAAGUGUAUCAUGUUUAUGACAAAGAAUUCAGUGAAUAAACGAUUUUAUUUUGUCAAUUAUUUUAAGCAAUAUUUUAAGAUGCAUCUUUUCUGAAGUGUAACAGGAGACAUUACUGAGAUCAUAUGCUUAGCUGUGAGUCCUUGUGUUCACAAAAAUGCUAUGGUGAAUGAAUGCACAAUAUUCACUUCUCUCUCUUUCUCUCUCUCUUUGCUUUUCUGCUUUUAGGCUCUUUGACAUAUCCCCUAAACAUGGCUCAAGAACCAGGAUGGGGGGGGGAUGACCUUCUGUGAAAUAUGGUUAUGUUAAUGUACUUUGACAUCAACCAUGAACACGGCUCAAGAAACAAGAAGGGAAAGUGACUUCCAAGACAAAAAACUUUUAGGCCUACUAUUUGUUUUUACUCCACAUUUGAAAAAAUGUUAAAUGUAAAUAAGAUUGCUGUAUUGUUCAUUGAUAACUGCUGAGUGCAUUUAAAAUGUUGACCUUUCAACAUUGCAAUUUUCUGCUUUUUUCCAUAAAAAAAAUAAUAAAAGUUUUAAAACUCAA